UCCAGACUCCUACGGGAGGCAGCAGUGAGGAAUAUUGGUCAAUGGCCGAGAGGCUGAACCAGCCAAGUCGCGUGAGGGAAGACGGCCCUACGGGUUGUAAACCUCUUUUGUCGGGGAGCAAAGCGAGUCACGUGUGACUCAUUGAGAGUACCCGAAGAAAAAGCAUCGGCUAACUCCGUGCCAGCAGCCGCGGUAAUACGGAAGGUCCGGGCGUUAUCCGGAUUUAUUGGGUUUAAAGGGAGCGUAGGCCGGUCUUUAAGCGUGCCGUGAAAUUUUGUGGCUCAACCAUGAGAGUGCGGCGCGAACUGGAGACCUUGAGUGCGCGGAAGGCAGGCGGAAUUCGUGGUGUAGCGGUGAAAUGCUUAGAUAUCACGAAGAACCCCGAUUGCGAAGGCAGCAUACGGCAGCGCUACUGACGCUGAAGCUCGAAGGCGCGGGUAUCGAACAGGAUUAGAUACCCCAGUACG
rnacentral:rRNA from 1 species